ACCCUGCUCCCAAAUUUGAAACUUUCUGUUUCUAUUUUUGUGAAACAUCCAAUUACUUUUGUCGGUCAAAAAUUACAUCACGAUAGUAAAUUGACUCCUCUUUCUCUAAAAAAUUCGGCCAGAUGCUUUUGCUGGUGUAAAAAACAAGCAAAUGUCAUAUCACAAACCAGGCAACUAGGAAUAUGCAUGACGGCAACUGAGUAAAUACAUGGACUUGCCCUUGUUGAUAAUGAGUUAAUAGUCGGAUUUGGAACACGUGAAUUUGUACAGAUUUUUUCAAACUGAUAUAAAAAUGCCGAUCAUACCUACAUUUAGCUGGAAAGCUACUGACAGUCUGAAGUCGAAGUGAUCGUCGAACAGGCGUCAUAAAAUGACUAAGUAGUUUAAGCGGUUCACCCUAUUAAUCCUCUUCUCGGUCUCGACUUUUCUUGCGCUCCUCAUGGUUCCGUCAGCCCAAGCAGGUGUAAAUUUGGCGAGCAAACCCUUUUGUAAUGCGGGCCAAAAGGGCAAUUGCGAACCUCCUCCGAAAGAAGGAAAAAACAGGCCUUGUACACCUCAUAAUGAUUGCGGCAGAUCCGGCAGUGGCUAGUGGAAUCUUCCUUAGCAAGGAUAUUUACCAAAAACCACAAACUGAAAUCCUGGGUUCUCUCACCCAAUUUUAUGUAAAAAUCAAUUACGUGUAACUGAGUUUUCGAUCGAUGUAAUUUUGAUCCUCUUUUUUCCUAGUCAUUUUUAUCUUUUUGUCACUUAUUUUCCUCAUUUUUACUCUUCUCUUCUUUUCCCUUGUUUUUUUCAUUGUCUCUCUCUUAAUCCUCUUGUCCCUCCAUUUUCUCUUCUUAUUCCUCUUAAUUUUCUAAUUUCCCAUCUCUUCUCUCCUCUCCUUAAUCCCCCUCC